CGCGCCAACAAUUUAUUGUGCUGUAUAUCGCUGGAAAUCUGGUCCAGAAGUCUCUACCACAAGACCUAAUCUUGUGACUACAGCCCAAUCACCGUCCGCU
rnacentral:ncRNA from 2 species